rnacentral:rRNA from 1 species
GACGAACGCUGGCGGCGUGCCUAAUACAUGCAAGUAGAACGCUGAAGAGAGGAGCUUGCUCUUCUUGGAUGAGUUGCGAACGGGUGAGUAACGCGUAGGUAACCUGCCUGGUAGCGGGGGAUAACUAUUGGAAACGAUAGCUAAUACCGCAUGAUAUUAAUUAUCGCAUGAUAAUUAAUUGAAAGAUGCAAUUGCAUCACUACCAGAUGGACCUGCGUUGUAUUAGCUAGUUGGUGAGGUAACGGCUCACCAAGGCGACGAUACAUAGCCGACCUGAGAGGGUGAUCGGCCACACUGGGACUGAGACACGGCCCAGACUCCUACGGGAGGCAGCAGUAGGGAAUCUUCGGCAAUGGGGGGAACCCUGACCGAGCAACGCCGCGUGAGUGAAGAAGGUUUUCGGAUCGUAAAGCUCUGUUGUAAGAGAAGAACGGGUGUGAGAGUGGAAAGUUCACACUGGACG